ACCUCCCCACCAGAACAAACCUAGAAAGAAAGAGAGAAUUGACACCUGAAUAAAAUUAUAUUUGGCCAGGUUCUGGGGGUUUUUUGAGAUCCAUCUGCUGUUAUUGAAGUCCUUAAUAAGUGUUCUCACAGCCCAGCUUUCCUUUUUGUUGGAGCCUGCAGUGAAGUCAGAAUCCUGUGAUGAUGACAUCAGAUUGUUGCUAUGGAAAUGACAAACCCAGUCACAAAGUCAACACUGUGUCUCACCACAGCUUCAAAGAGCAGCAAGGCUGGGAGGGAGCAAGUUCUUGUUGAAACUGAGGACAAAUAUAUGAAACAAUAUCUGAAAGUGUGACUCCAGCCUAAACAGCCAGGACCUCCAUCAUAGACUCCAUAGUGCUACCUCAAGCUGACUGGACCAUCCCAGUGCCAGUUGGGAAACACACACGCACACAAACACACAUAAUGCACUGUUCUAACCUAGUCUACUUAGUCAGAGGAGACAGACAGCUUGACUCCAGACCUGAACAUCAACUGCUUGGAUCCAGUUCUGCCCUGCUCAAAAUAGUUUAUAGUAAAGCAUAAACUGAACCAUCAAAAAUAGGAUCUCAAUCCUUCGAAAUGUCAGGAGAUCAAGUUCACUGCACAGCAAGAGCUGAGUGUUCAGUCCAAGAGGCUGCAUCAUUGUCAAAGGCUCAAGAUUAUUUAGAAUGAAGAAAAAAAAUCUUUCCUUGAGUAGCAGCAGUUAGCGACCUGAGCCUGCUCAUUGUGUUCCCCCUGUGGAUCAUGUGCAGACUUGACACAUUUGCUCAGAAAAAGCUGGAGAUGCCAAGAACUGUAGAAAGGGUUCAGUCCUGAAGGUCCCUGAGUGUAGCAGAGAAAAAUGCAGAAUCAAUGUGCUGGUGUUUCACAAGUCACCACAAAUUAAACCACCUCACCAUCCCAGCUUCUCUUCCAUACAUUUUACACGUUUGGAGGGAGCAAGGACUCAUCUUCCCUGCUUCUCCAAAAUUUUACUGCUCAUCUUUAUCAAGCAAGCUUCAGAUGUUAAUAUAACAACUGGGAUUUUAUUGUGUUACUAAUGAGGUGAGGGUGCCUGAAGUCAUGGCUAGACAUCUUUCUAUUGUUCUAUCAUUAUAUUACUUGUUAUAUUAAUAAUAUAGUCAUUAUAUUAAUAAUUAGCUUUAUUAUUCUGCCUCUAAUAGAUUUCUGAGAAUGUUAUGAAGCUAAAUAAGCAUUAUUGUCAUUAUAGAGAGAGUGACUCAGAAUCAUGAAGUGAUUAGGUGGCUUUCCCAAAGCAUUAACAUCACUAUGAUCAUUAUAAUUAUUAUUAUUGUUUUUUAAGGGUGUUGUACUGUAUUACUGGUCAGUCAAAAACAAGAUUUGCUGGCCAGUCACUUUACAAAUGGAGAGCAAAAAGACGGUUUGUGCACCAGGAAGCUUGUAAUCUGAGGCCAUAUACACACACAUUCAAAUGAUCCGGCAUAAUUCCC